CAUCCUGGCUCGUAGUAAAAACCUCGUGGAGCUGUUACUCAGGCAUGGUGCCAAACUGGAUGCCAAGAAUAAGAAGGGCAGUACCCCACUAACUCUUGCUAUCACUGAAGAACACGAGGAGAUAUUAGAAGAUCUCCUGAAAGCAGGAGCUGAUGUGCAUGCUCGAGAUGAGCAUGAAAGAACCCCACUGAUGAUUGCUGCUUCUGUUGGGGAGAUGUAUUUGGUCAAAGUUCUCCUUUCUCACGGAGCCAAUUUUUCCCAUGAAGACAAAGAUGGGAGGAUAGCUGUGGAUUAUGCUGAUCUCCAUGGCCAUUUACGUGUAAGUCAGUACCUGGCAAAACUGGAGGACACAGCAGAAGCUCCUGCAGGGGAUGCACUUGGAUCUCCUGAGCAGGCAGGAGCUGCUGGAGGGAUAAAAGAAAAAGCAGAGCAGGAGAAGACAGGAGAAGCUCCUGUGUGUAAUGCAGAA